CAAUAGCGUAUAUUAAAGUUGUUGCAGUUAAAAAGCUCGUAGUUGAACUUCAGACCUGGCCGGGCGGUCUACCUCGCGGUAUGUACUAUCUGGCCGGGUCUUACCUCUUGGUGAGCCGGUAUGCCCUCCACUGGGUGUGCCGGGGAACCAGGACCUUUACCUUGAGAAAAUUAGAGUGUUCAAAGCAGGCCUAUGCCCGAAUACAUUAGCAUGGAAUAAUAAAAUAGGACGUGCGGUUCUAUUUUGUUGGUUUCUAGAGUCGCCGUAAUGAUUAAUAGGGAUAGUUGGGGGCAUUCGUAUUCAGUUGCUAGAGGUGAAAUUCUUGGAUUUACUGAAGACGAACUAUUGCGAAAGCAUUUGCCAAGGAUGUUUUCAUUAA
rnacentral:rRNA from 1 species